UCUAGAAAAUUUGUAUUUUAGAUGCAGUUUAUUUCACAAACUAGAGGUGAAUACAUGUGAAUACAGGUAAUAUUGUCUGCUGUGUUUGUGGUGUGUGUUUGUGAUUCUUAAAAAAAUUGUAUACCACUGAAACAAACUACACUCACCAGUUAGACAAAGAUAAUCUCUUAUUUUAUCUAGUAUAAUAGCAUGGGGUAGGAACUAUAGACUUCAAGGAGCCACUGGGCCACAUAAGCAAUUUACAGUAUCAAGGAAAUUUUGUGGGUGUCCCCUUAAUAUCAGCACCCAUUUUUAGAAUCCUUUAUCUAGCACCACUUCAACAGAAGGGUUCUGGGUAGCCAGUAUGGUGACAAAUCUAAAUUUUGUCAUGCAGACUGAAAAGAUGUCCAUAAGGCCACCCAAUGCCCAGCACACUGAAUAGCUGCGACUUCAUAAAUGUGUUGAAUGAAGAAUCAAUUCCAGGAACAUUAUGCUGUUGAGCAAUACUUCAGUUCCACAAGCUUGAUUGAAAACCCACUGGAAUCAGGCAGUCAUUGUACUGGGCAACAGGGAUACAGAAAUGAGAAAGAAGAAAAGAAAAAGCACUAAAGCACUAGGGACAGAAUAAGCUCCAGACCCAGGAAAGAAAAUUUGUGAAUGUAGCUGAAACACCCUCUCCCAAAAGGUACUUAUUUAAUGUCUUCAGUAAAAAUAUUAAUAAUGAGUUAUUUUAUGAGAUAUUUUAGAUCCAAAUAGAACUAAAAUGGAGUUGAUUUCUGUCCACUAAUUUGCCUCCAUAAUAAAGUUACCAAAGCUUUCA
rnacentral:lncRNA from 13 species